rnacentral:rRNA from 1 species
CAGUAGCCGCGGUAAUACAGAGGGUGCAAGCGUUAAUCGGAAUUACUGGGCGUAAAGCGCGCGUAGGUGGUUUGUUAAGUUGGAUGUGAAAUCCCCGGGCUCAACCUGGGAACUGCAUCCAAAACUGGCAGGCUAGAGUAGGGCAGAGGGUGGUGGAAUUUCCUGUGUAGCGGUGAAAUGCGUAGAUAUAGGAAGGAACACCAGUGGCGAAGGCGACCACCUGGGCUCAUACUGACACUGAGGUGCGAAAGCGUGGGGAGCAAACAGGAUUAGAUACCCCGGUAGUCCCUGUCUCUUAUAC